GUCCGGAGUCUUUAAUUCAGUAAACUAUAUUCAUUAGAAGUUACAAUUCUUUAUAAAUAUUCUUCAUCUAUAUUACCUUGGCUUUUUAAUGGUUUUGUUUACGUAUAAAUAUGACCAUGUAAAAGGACGACUAUAAUAUAUUAGGCUACAGUGGCCAGGUUUCCCAGAGGUUCAGAGGUAAAUUAUUAGGUUGCUGUUUCAAAAAUUUUGGCAGUUUUACAAGUCAAUUAUAUCCUAUCUCAUAAUUUUUGAGUUUGCUUGAUAUGUAAAUAGGAUCACAUAUCACAAUCCAAAUAAUAUCAUUGUUAUUAUAUUCUCAUGUUUCUGACAAACACGAGAGUGAUGAAUGAUCUUUGAUCCUGAACCCAAUCAUAUACUGAAACAGCUGUGGAUUAAGAGAGAUACGACUACCUUAGAACUCCGAAAGUUGAGCAAGAAAGCACAAUAUUCAACAGUGAUUCAACAACGAAUUCAUUGCAACCAUUUGCAAAGACUAAUCAGACUAAUUUACAAAAGCUACAUUAUUGGACAUGGUUGACAGUGUGAUUACGUCAUAAACAGGAAAACGUGGACGCGGAAGUGUGACUAAAGAAGUUGAAAGUAACAAAAUGCUAUAUGUCAAGUGCUAGUUCAGUGUUCAGCUCUGGUUCGAGGGAUUAGUUACGAAUGUUGCUGGCUGCAUUUAGAAGACGCUUUCUUUCUGUUUAUGGUGAAAUCACGCUUGUAUAAAUAGACCUAGGUUAGCUUUUGUAAAUUAGCCAGUGAUGAAUUUGUAAUAAAUUCGAAAUAUCACUGUUGAAUAUUUUGCGCUCUAACUUGCUCUACUUAAAUACUACGUUUCACUUUAUUUCAUGAAGCUGUUGGCUGGCAACAGAUUUUGUAUUUUUCAUGAACAAGCUUUUGUCGGUAGGGAUGCAACUACCUGAAAAUAUAUAAGGAGAACUGCGACGUUUCGAGCGAAGACCCUUGGCUUGAAACGUCGAAAUCCUUCUUAUAUAUAUUUCCAGGUAGUUGCAUCUCUAUACCAACGAAAGCUUCAUUUGAUUGGCACUACCUACUACUGACACAGAUUGCUCAAGAUUAAAUCAUAAACUCACGAACUAGCACUGCAAAAAAUCCCUGAAAUGAAUAUUUGUCUAGAGUGCACAAACAGUAACUCGAAUUUUUGAGAAAAAUCACGCAAAUUUAUAUAUAUCAAACUUACUCAAUAUAUUGUUUGAGUAAAGAUUUUCUUUAUUCAAAAAACCUUGUCAUGACUUUUUUGCC